rnacentral:rRNA from 1 species
AGAGUUUGAUCAUGGCUCAGGAUUAACGCUGGCGGUAUGCAUAAAACAUGCAAGUCGAGCGCGGCACUUUAGCUUCGGUUGAAGUGUCUAGCGGCGAACGGGUGAGUAACACGUGAGCAACCUUCCAUAGUGCCCGGGAUAGCUCUGGGAAACCAGAAUUAAUACCGGAUGAAGUUGCGACUAGACAUCUAGUUGUAAAAAAAGGGGCAACCCGCUCUGUGACGGGCUCGCGGUCUAUUAGCUUGUUGGUGGGGUAAUGGCCUACCAAGGCGAUGAUGGAUAGCUGGUCUGAGAGGACGAUCAGCCACACUGGGACUGAGACACGGCCCAGACUCCUACGGGAGGCAGCAGUUAGGAAUUUUCCGCAAUGGGCGAAAGCCUGACGGAGCAAUACCGCGUGAGUGAUGAAGACCUUCGGGUUGUAAAGCUCUGUCGGAGGGGAAGAAAAAUGACGGUACCCUCCAAGAAAGCCCCGGCUAACUACGUGCCAGCAGCCGCGGUAAUACGUAGGGGGCGAGCGUUAUCCGGAUUUACUGGGCGUAAAGCGCGUUAAGGCGGUUGGCAAAGUUGGUUGUGAAAUCUCAGGGCUCAACCCUGAAAUUGCGACCAAUACUGGUCGACUAGAGUGUGAGAGAGGAAGGUGGAAUUCCCGGUGUAGUAGUGAAAUGCAGAUAUCGGGAGGAACACCAGUGGCGAAGGCGGCCUUCUGGCUCAUAACUGNNNCGUAGCGCGAAAGCGUGGGGAGCGAACCGGAUUAGAUACCCUAGUAGUCC